GGGCAUCCAGAAAUAGAGAGAAUAUUUUGGGAAGAGCUAAAAAUCAGUCCUUAAGAUCAUUUUUAAGUUUGGAGAUUUCAGCUUUAGGUUCCCUUUGAGGGUUAAAUGAUACUUUAAAAUAAAGAGGGAUAGUUGAAAAAGAAUAAUAUUGUUUCAUUGAAGUGAAAAUAGCUAGAAAAUUUCUCUUUUACUUCUGCUAUGUACUUGAAGUUAAAAUACUUGGAGUAGUUUAUUGUUUUGGAUCUAUUUGUCUGAAUCAAAAUUCAAUACCAAUUUUGGUCAAAGUUGUGUCUGAGUUCUAAUGGGUUCAUGCUAUUCUUGGUUUGGUUGAGUUAAGCUUUGGGCUUUGUUGAUUUCUGCCCGUUACUGUUGUUCGUUGAUUGUUGAUUUCUGUCGCUUACUGCUGUUGAUCCUUCAUUUUGUGGCUUGAUAACACAUUUCCAGGUGCAUACAUUGAACCAGUUAUGGUGUAUAGUUCAGAUUGGAAGUGGAAUGAAAAAUGCUGACCGUUUAUAUCCUGAAUAAUACGUGUUCAAUCUGUCCUAAUAGAGUAAAUACUAGAUGAUUUGUAUUUGUUCAGGUUUACUGUUAACUGACGGUUACAUUGUACUAUUGGACUGUUAAUUAUAGGAUUGUAUUAAGUAGGACUGUUUGGAUUCAUUUUGUAUAGGGCUGUUAGUAUAAUAUCUGGAGAGACAAAAGGCGUACUAUUCUACUUUUAUUCUCUAAGUGAGUGUUAACGUGAUUAUCUGCUCGUAUGUACAUGCUCGUUUGUAAGACUCUUAGGUACUGUUAGUGGUCUAUUUAAAUUGUGAAUCUUCCUGCUGUUAAAAAAGCCUUUAGUAAUUGAGUCCUUAGUAGCCCAUCAGUCUACUUGUGCAAAUUAAAUGUAUUGAGUUUGUUUAUGCUUUGGUUUUCAACGUGUGGAUGAUUUUGUCUUCAGGCCACAGAAGUUUGAGAACUAACUUAUUCGCCUUCAAAUUGUCGCUUCAAUUUGUUUGAAUUUAUUUGCUUCAGUCUUGGUUGAGUUUUAAAAAAAAAUAAUACUUCUAUUACUAUAAAGUAAUCGUGGGUUCUAAAGUAAUGAAAGUCGCAAUAUUGGCAGCACUCAUUAGAAGUUAUGAGUAUCAUUUUUAAUAUUGUUGUUAGUAAAUAAGAUAUUAUAUUGUCUAUAGGUGAACACUAGCCCAUUUUACUGUAUUUGUAUUUAAGAGGAUGUGAUAUUUCUUUUGGUUUCGUAAUUUGUUGGCUUGUGAUGUUUUAACCAAGAACGGAUAAUAAUAUGAUUUUCAUACACAAUUGGAUAUUAGUUGGAAGUUGUGUGUAAACCUAUGUGUUCCCUUUUUCCAUUGCAUCAAUAAUGUAAGAAAAUGAAUCAUAAAAAAUAAUUUGUUGAUAAUUUUAUUUUUAUUUUUAUACAACUUAUUUUGUUGGAAAUUCUUAGAAGCUGAAAUUUGCAAGACUAGUUUUUAAAAAAAAAAAUAAUUUUACUUCGUAGCUUACUUUAGGCAUGAAUCUGGCAAGAGGGUUAAAUAUAUAAAUUUAAUAAUUUUGUUAAUAAGAUUUAAUAAUU
rnacentral:lncRNA from 1 species